AGAGUUUGAUCCUGGCUCAGAUUGAACGCUGGCGGCGUGCGUAACACAUGCAAGUCGAGCGGUAACAGGUGUAGCAAUACAUGCUGACGAGCGGCGAACGGGUGAGUAAUGCUUCGGAAUCUACCUUAUGGUGGGGAAUAACUAGCCGAAAGGUUAGCUAAUACCGCAUACGUCCUACGGGAGAAAGCAGGGGAUCGUAAGACCUUGCGCCAAAAGAUGAGCCGAAGUCGGAUUAGCUAGUUGGUAGGGUAACGGCCUACCAAGGCGACGAUCCGUAGCUGGUCUGAGAGGACGACCAGCCACACUGGGACUGAGACACGGCCCAGACUCCUACGGGAGGCAGCAGUGGGGAAUAUUGGACAAUGGGGGAAACCCUGAUCCAGCGACGCCGCGUGUGUGAAGAAGGCCUGCGGGUUGUAAA
rnacentral:rRNA from 1 species